rnacentral:lncRNA from 1 species
AAGUGCUCAGUGAUGAUCUGGGGUCACUAUUCUCUGCAGAUCAGCAUGUCUGAGAGGUAGGGGCUCACAGACUGUGGAACUGGUGUAAGACCUUUGUCUUUUCCCAGCUACUAACAGGUCCUGCUUGUCACAGCCCCUCCAUGAUACAAAGUUAAGUCAUUUUAUGUCUGACACAGGCAAAGGAAAACGACAGGCCCUUGCCUUCCCGGUCCUCAAGGGUCAGCUGUAAGAUGAUGUCAUAAAGCCGGAUCAGGUCCUGGGGCCGGGGGGAAGCACUUGCUGUCAUCCUCUGGCUGCUGCUGCAGCAGAGCCCUCUGCAGACCUUUGGCCAUGCUCUCAUUACACUUGAUUGCCAUUGACAGCUUGAUGUAAGUCAGGUUGUAGAUGAGCAUGAGAGUGUGGAGCAGAGUCGGCGAGCGCAAGUCGAGCCCAUCAACCUGGACAGCUGUCUCCGUGCUUUCACCGGUGAGGAAGAGCUAGGGGAAGAUGAGAUGUACUACUGUUCCAAGUGUAAGACCCACUGCUUAGCAACAAAGAAGCUGGAUCUCUGGAGGCUUCCACCCUUCCUGAUUAUUCACCUUAAGUGAUUUCAGUUUGUAAAUGAUCAGUGGAUAAAAUCACAGAAAAUUGUCAAAUUUCCUCGGGAAAGUUUUGACCUGAGUGCUUUUUUGGUACCACGAGACCCGGCUCUCUGCCAGCAUCAACCACUCACACCCCAGGGGGAUGAGCUCUCCAAGCCCAGGAUUCUGGCAAGAGAGGUGAAGAAAGUGGAUGUGCAGAGUUUGGCUGGGGAAUAGGACAUGCUCCUGAGCAAAAGCCCAUCCUCACUCAGCGCUAACAUCAGCAGCAGCCCAAAAGGUUCUCCUUCUUCAUCAAGAAAAAGUGGAACCAGCUGUCCCUCCAGCAAAAACAGCAGCCCUAAUAGCAGCCCACGGACUUUGGGGAGGAGCAAAGGGAGGCUCUGGCUGCCCCAGAUUGGCAGCAAAAAUAAACUGUCAAGUAGUAAGAAGAACUUGGAUGCCAGCAAAGAGAAUGGGGCUGGGCAGAUCUGUGAGCUGGCUGACGCCUUGAGCCGAGGGCAUAUGCGGGGGGUGGGCAGCCAACCAGAGCUGGUCACUCCUCAGGACCAUGAGGUAGCUUUGGCCAAUGGAUUCCUUUAUGAGCAUGAAGCAUAUGGCAAUGGCUAUAGCAAUGGUCAGCUUGGAAACCACAGUGAAGAAGACAGCACUGAUGACCAAAGAGAAGACACUCAUAUUAAGCCUAUUUAUAUGCAAUUUCAUGCCAUUCAGGAAUUCUGAGUGGGGGCCAUUACGUCACUUAUGCCAAAAACCCAAACUGCAAGUGGUACUGCUACAAUGGCAGCAUCUGUG